rnacentral:rRNA from 1 species
AACGAACGCUGGCGGCAGGCCUAACACAUGCAAGUCGAACGCACCUUCGGGUGAGUGGCGCACGGGUGAGUAACACGUGGGAAUGUAUCCUUUGGUUCGGAAUAACGUUUGGAAACGAACGCUAAUACCGGAUGAGCCCUUAGGGGGAAAGAUUUAUCGCCAAAGGAGCAGCCCGCGUCUGAUUAGGUAGUUGGUGGGGUAAUGGCCUACCAAGCCGACGAUCAGUAGCUGGUCUGAGAGGAUGAUCAGCCACACUGGGACUGAGACACGGCCCAGACUCCUACGGGAGGCAGCAGUGGGGAAUAUUGGACAAUGGGCGCAAGCCUGAUCCAGCCAUGCCGCGUGAGUGAUGAAGGCCUUCGGGUUGUAAAGCUCUUUCGCACACGACGAUGAUGACGGUAGUGUGAGAAGAAGCCCCGGCUAACUUCGUGCCAGCCGCCGCGGUAAAAC